AACACGAUUUCCUGCCCGUCUCCGACACACACAGACACACACACACAGACACACACACAGACAGACGGCCGCGCCAUCAUCAUCAGCUCACUUCAUUGACUUUGUUCAGGAGUACCCGACGCUCCUCACUCACUCACUCGCACUCUCUCUAAAACGGGGCAAAAAAAAAACGCCAACGGCCAUCCGCCCUUUGCCUCUACGACAGCGCUGCCGUGACAGGCCGUCGUCCUAUAGAGGCGACCCUGUGCAGCACUUCCGUUUGACACCCUUCGACGCCCCGGCGCGCCAUCGCAUGCGAUGGAGGUAACGCAGAAGCGGCACGAGUGUGAAGAGCAUGAGGGCCUUUUUUUUGGCUUGCGUGAUUUUUCUCUGCUGUUUUUCUCUGCGGGCAGGCGCGUGCAUUCAUGCUUGCCCCCUCCCCAGCACACACACACACACACACGCGACAAGGACGACGACGACGGUGCUUUUGUGGAGGAGGACGACGAAAGAGCUGGCGAAAGCCCAGUCAGAGAGGGACGCCGUAGCGUCGCAUACGUGCCCCUUGGCCAGAAGGAAGACAAGGACGCGCAAGAAACCACGGCAUGCAGUCAUUUAUGCGGUGCUUCCGCGCCGUUUGACUCCCGCCCUUCUCCUCUUUUUUGGUUGUGUGUGUGUGAGGGUAGGGGAGAGGAGUGCUUUCGCCCCUCCAGCACACCCACUUACUCGUCGGCGAUGAUCGGCUCUGUUCAUUCUGCUGGAUUCUAUCCCCUUUGCUUUCGAUCGUUUCCCAGGCUCCGUAACGUUCUACACCGCCUCUGUACUUCGUUUUAUGCUGUCGACGACGCCCAAGCGCACAGAUCAGCGCGCGAAAUCAGUACAAUAGACAUGUGACGGCCGCAUGCAUGCAUGUCUAAGGGUAUCGGUCUCGGUGUACCGGCGCAUGCUCCGCUCUCUGCGUGCAUGAGCACUGCAACUUACUCCAGUGGUAGAAGGAUGAGUACACCAUGUGUGCGCUACCGACGAUGGGUUCGUCUUGAGCGCAACGUUUGUUUCACGGAUUAUACCAGAUGACGUGUGCCUGCAUACCCGGCUUUCGCGUACAGCAAGGCCAGCUACAUAUGACUCUCUGGCUCGUCAUCCAUUUCGGUCAUCCCGUCCCUCUUCUUUUUCUUGUCGAGGCACGACAG
rnacentral:misc_RNA from 1 species